rnacentral:lncRNA from 1 species
UUUGUUGUUUGUUGAAGAGACUUUGCAGAGAACUUAUUUUUCUGCAUACGGUGAUUCUUUUUCUUCUUCUCACCCACCACAAAACUAUUUCAUCUCUUUGUAGUGAGCCAUAUGGAAAAUUAUAAUGAAAUCUAUUUAACACCUGAUAUUUCAUUUAGUUCUGGUGCAUCUCUACCACCUUCUCUUGUUUAUCUAGAAAAAAAGGUUGCUGCUGAGUUCAUUAGAACCUUUAUUAUCAUGUUUGCUGCCACUGCUGCAGCCAUUGUCAACCGCGAGAGUUCUGAGACCCU